rnacentral:rRNA from 1 species
UACGGAGGGUGCAAGCGUUAUCCGGAUUCACUGGGUUUAAAGGGUGCGUAGGUGGGCAGGUAAGUCAGUGGUGAAAUCUCCGGGCUUAACUCGGAAACUGCCAUUGAUACUAUCUUUCUUGAAUACCGUGGAGGUCAGCGGAAUAUGUCAUGUAGCGGUGAAAUGCUUAGAUAUGACAUAGAACACCAAUUGCGAAGGCAGCUGGCUACACGAAUAUUGACACUGAUGCACGAAAGCGUGAGGAUCAAACAGG